AAGUAGAUUUGACAUAAUAGUUACUUACGUAUCUGAUGCAAAUGGUAAAUUAUAGACAAUUUCGCGGGUUAUAGCCCGAACGAAGUGAGGGCGAUAAGCGAAAGUGCUUAAAAUCCACCGUCCACAACAGAUGCGUUUUACAUUUUUUCAUG